AACCAUAAUUACCGGUCCAUAUUUCUUUCACAAGGGCUAAUCAUAGGCUGUAGGCACUGAGCUUUACACCGUAGAAGACAACGCGAAAAAGUAAACUGCGGAGGUAGGACAUAAAGGAGUUUCUAUUUCAUUUAUUCUGUCUAUAAAACUGCCAAGGCCAUUUGUUGUUUCAUUUUGGAUUGCAGUUUGGCGAACCUGUGGAGCUCUGGUUACUUCUGUGUUGUCUAUUUAAAGAAAAGAAUGAUCGGUGCAUGGAUAACAAUUGGUAUUGUUACAUUGAUCUGGGCGCUAAUUGGAGGAGUGGGACCUUUUAUACUUCCCAAAGGUCCAAAUCGUGGAGUUUAUCAAACCAUGAUUGUAUUAACUGCCGUGUGCUGCUGGUUACAUUGGUUCAUAACUUACAUGUCACAACUUAACCCACUGAUGGGUCCAACAUUAACAAGAGGCGAAAUAUAUUUGAUGGGAUGGGUGUGGUGAUUAUUAAAGCUCACAUAUAUUUAAUAUUAUUUUAUUGUAUGUUGUCAUUCGUAUUGAAAAUGUUACAGGAAUAAAUGUAAAUCAGUGAUCAUGUAUA